CAGAGGGUGCGAGCGUUGUCCGGAAUCACUGGGCGUAAAGGGCGCGUAGGUGGCGGCCCAAGUCCAUGGUGAAAGCUCGCCGCUUAACGGCGAGUCGGCCACGGAUACUGGGUUGCUCGAGCACUGUAGGGGCAGAUGGAAUUCCGGGUGUAGCGGUGGAAUGCGUAGAGAUCCGGAAGAACACCAGUGGCGAAGGCGGUCUGCUGGGCAGUUGCUGACACUGAUGCGCGACAGCGUGGGGAGCAAACAGGAUUAGAUACCCUGGUAGUCCACGCCGUAAACGAUGGGCACUAGAUGCUUGGGGGAGCGACCCCCUGAGUGUCGUCGCUAACGCAGUAAGUGCCCCGCCUGGGGAGUACGGCCGCAAGGCUG
rnacentral:rRNA from 1 species